AGGUUUCCGUAGGUGACCUGCGGAAGGUCAUUAAAAGAAAUUGGUUAUACAUUUCAUGCAUCAACUGUUUAAACCCAUUCUGUGUACCUUGCCUGUUGCUUCCAUGGAGCCUGACUUUGGUCACUCUUGUGAUGUAAAUCCCAAGGGAGUCCCCAUGGAAGGUCAUCAAUAAAACUCAUGUAUCCAAUGUCUUCUGUCUGAACUGUUUAUAACAAUUGUUAAAACUUUCAACAACGGAUCUCUUGGUUCUCGCAUCGAUGAAGAACGCAUCGAAAUGCGAUAAGUAGUGUGAAUUGCAGAAUUCAGUGAAUCAUCGAAUCUUUGAACGCACAUUGCGCCUCCUGGUAUUCCGGGAGGCAUGCCUGUUCGAGCGUCAUUAAAUACCUCUCAAGCACCAUUGCUUGGUCAUGGAAGAUGAGUAUGCUUGCAUUCUCCCUUCUGAAAUUCAAAGGCGGAUCAUCUCAUAUUCCCUGGCGUAGUAAGUGUUUAUCUUUCCCUUGGAGUGUCUGACAGUCUUGCCAUCGACCCCCAUUAUUUCAUGGUUGACCUCGGAUCAGGUAGGGAUACCCGCUGAACUUAAGCAUAUCAAUAAGCGGAGGAA
rnacentral:rRNA from 1 species